GUGUGACUGCGUACCUUUUGUAUAAUGGGUCAGCGACUUAUAUUCUGUAGCAAGGUUAACCGAAUAGGGGAGCCGAAGGGAAACCGAGUCUUAACUGGGCGUUAAGUUGCAGGGUAUAGACCCGAAACCCGGUGAUCUAGCCAUGGGCAGGUUGAAGGUUGGGUAACACUAACUGGAGGACCGAACCGACUAAUGUUGAAAAAUUAGCGGAUGACUUGUGGCUGGGGGUGAAAGGCCAAUCAAACCGGGAGAUAGCUGGUUCUCCCCGAAAGCUAUUUAGGUAGCGCCUCGUGAAUUCAUCUCCGGGGGUAGAGCACUGUUUCGGCAAGGGGGUCAUCCCGACUUACCAACCCGAUGCAAACUGCGAAUACCGGAGAAUGUUAUCACGGGAGACACACGGCGGGUGCUAACGUCCGUCGUGAAGAGGGAAACAACCCAGACCGCCAGCUAAGGUCCCAAAGUCAUGGUUAAGUGGGAAACGAUGUGGGAAGGCCCAGACAGCCAGGAUGUUGGCUUAGAAGCAGCCAUCAUUUAAAGAAAGCGUAAUAGCUCACUGGUCGAGUCGGCCUGCGCGGAAGAUGUAACGGGGCUAAACCAUGCACCGAAGCUGCGGCAGCGACGCUUAUGCGUUGUUGGGUAGGGGAGCGUUCUGUAAGCCUGUGAAGGUGUACUGUGAGGUAUGCUGGAGGUAUCAGAAGUGCGAAUGCUGACAUAAGUAACGAUAAAGCGGGUGAAAAGCCCGCUCGCCGGAAGACC
rnacentral:rRNA from 1 species